rnacentral:lncRNA from 1 species
AGAGAGAGGGGGGGGGGGGAAAGAGUCGUGUUGUGCGUGGGUUGUUACCUUGCUAUUUUGAAUCUUGAUCCGGGGUGCGUCCGGAGGAGGUUAAGCAGCACCAUUCGUCGUACACGUGCCCACGCUUCCUUGUUUGUUGUGCUGCAAGAACCUUGACGACUCCCUUUUCCUUACUUGCCCAAAUACCUGCCUCAUCAUUGGACAGACAUCCAGAGGCCAUGGCGGGCCAACUCCGGUCAACCACUCCUAUAUACAAAGUAAGAGAAAUGCGUAGUAAUGUCCUGACUUGUUAAGGAAAGACAAGAAUGCAGCAUGGAAUGAAUUGGGAAGGUCAUCAUCCUAAGAGCAGUUUCCAAAACUUGUGCAGUAUAGAAAGGAACUGAAAGGUCAGCAUCUAUCUACAUUGUUUUAUACACAGCCACAGCCAUCAAAUAUGUUGUGAACUUGGAAGAACAUGCAUUAAUGUGCAGACUGAUCACAACUCACCUCUGCUGCAGUUUGGCCAUUCCAAAGAUUGUUUGAUCCUGUCGCUGGUUGAAUCCUUCCUUAAGCAGCGUAUGGUUCAAAAGCCUAGCAUCAAACAACCAUAACAUACUUCAGGUGUGGUCACAGGUUAUGAUAGAUGGCAGUACUAAGAAACAACAAUACAACUCAGAUGUAUUGCUUUUGC